rnacentral:lncRNA from 1 species
GUUUGUCACCUCUUAGCCGUGCCUACUGGGUCACUGUGUCCUUAGCAGGAAAAAGAAAGAACUGGGGAAUAGCAGGCGAUUCUUUCCUUUCUAUAAGGCAGCUCCAUCUGCAGGGGAUGGGCGGCUCCUUGCUCAAGGGAGUGGAGCACAACCUCUCUCCAGUCCCUGGCUUCCUGUGACACUAUGCGAGCGCCAGGAGAGACAUCAGGAGUGGAAGACUUUGGGGAAGCGAACUUCACCAAUACUGUCUAGGCUGGGCCCAAGCUCAUGGCAAUCCUCCUGCCUCAGCCUCCUGAGUGCUGGGAUUACAGGUGCACACCACCACGCAUGGCUGAUAUUCUGGAAAAGGCUAAAAUACAGAGAUGGAAAACAUAUAAGAAGCUGUCCCCAAGAAUGACAACGGCGAUUUGAAAUUUCUGACUUGUAACCUCGGGGACCUGCAGACGUGGAACCCUUCAGGCCAAGACCACAAGGUCUCCCAGCAGCCCCCAGACGCCUGUCCAGGCAGACUCUCUCCGUCUCCAUAUACCACACGCAUGUUCUAUUUAUAUGUUUCUUUGUCCUGAACAAGAUUUGGCCCCAUUGUGUGGGAGCAACACCAGAAAAGAAAAACACAAUUCACCCACAGAGAGAAAAACAGAGAUUGUGGGAGCUUGGAGGAAUUUACAUACUCUGCUUGCUUCAUUUUCGGGUGAUGUCAGAGUCAUGGAAUAUGCCUUUGAAAAACAUCACACACACACACACACACACACACACACACACGCACACACGCUCACCAGCUACGUCAAGUGGAUUGUCAUUAAAAGGAGAAAUGUAAACACUAGCUUCUCUGCCCCUCCCCUCCAUUUCCUUCAUCAACCGCUAAAGAACCUAACAAAUUAGUCCAGACUGCAUUUGGAUGGAAUGAAAGGCCUGUCUGCAAAGGAGGAGGGGUG